AUUAUUUUUCCAAAAAAAAAAAAAAUCUGUUCUUAUCAGUUUAAUAUCUGAUACGUCCCCUAUCUGGGGACCAUAUAUUAAAUUGAUUUUUGGAAUAGGGAGAUGGAAUAGGGGCUUGCUCCGUCCACUCCACGCAUCGACCUGGUAUUGCAGUACCUCCAGGAACGGUGCACCCCCU
rnacentral:snRNA from 13 species